AGUAGAGAGGAGACAUUGCUGGAACUGGCAGGAGAGAAGAGAAGAUAAAUGACAUGAUCAACUCAAUGACGGACAACGAUGGGAGUCACAUGGCUGAGAAGAUCUUAAACUUCACCCUGGAGAUCAUCUACCUGCUGACUGGAGAGAGAUUUCCUCUUGUGAAGUCAGGUGAUCAUAUGACCAUC